rnacentral:tRNA from 1 species
AUUUAAAUAGUGUAAUUUUAAACACUUAACUUUUUCGCUGUUAAAACCCUUCUUAGGUUUAAAUU